rnacentral:rRNA from 1 species
CCUACGGGGAGCAGCAGUGGGGAAUAUUGCACAAUGGGGGAAACCCUGAUGCAGCGACGCCGCGUGAGUGAAGAAGGAUCUAGGUACGUAAAGCUCUAUCAGCAGGGAAGAAAAUGACGGUACCUGACUAAGAAGCGCCGGGUAACUACGUGCCAGCAGCCGCGGUAAUACGUAGGGGGCAAGCGUUAUCAGGAUUGACUGGGUGGAAAGGGAGCGUAGACGGCAGCAUAAGUCGGGAGUGAAAUCCCGGGGCUUAACCCCGGAACUGCAUUUGAAACUGUGCGGCUGGAGUGCAGGAGGGGUAAGCGGAAUUCCUAGUGUAGCGGUGAAAUGCGUAGAGAUUAGGAGGAACACCGGUGGCGAAGGCGGCUUACUGGACUAUAACUGACGUUGAGGCUCGAAAGCGUGGGGAGCAAACAGGAUUAGAUACCCGUGUAGUC